rfam:Anaerobacillus alkalilacustris strain DSM 18345 Ga0137925_104, whole genome shotgun sequence.
AUGUCUGCGAAGAAAUGUGCGGAGGAUCUGAAGACAAAACUUGGAACAGGCGACGAUAACCAUGCUGGCUGGCAAAGUCGGAUAACCCUGCAAAAGAAGGGAGUGUCCAAUACCACAGUAGACUUUGUUAGUUAUGAGGACUGGAUUCGAGGGAAAGCC